rnacentral:rRNA from 1 species
UAAGUCAGAGGUGAAAUCCCACAGCUCAACUGUGGAACUGCCUUAGAUACUGGUGAUCUUGAGUUAUAGUGAAGUAGAUAGAAUGUGUAGUGUAGCGGUGAAAUGCAUAGAUAUUACAUAGAAUACCGAUUGCGAAGGCAGUCUACUAACUAUCUACUGACGCUAAUGGACGAAAGCGUGGGGAGCGAACAGGAUUAGAUACCCUGGUAGUCCACGCCGUAAACGAUGGAUACUAG